rnacentral:rRNA from 1 species
UACGAAGGGGCUAGCGUUGUUCGGAUUUACUGGGCGUAAAGCGCACGUAGGCGGAUCGUUAAGUCGGGGGUGAAAUCCUGGAGCUCAACUCCAGAACUGCCUUCGAUACUGGCGAUCUUGAGUCCGGAAGAGGUGAGUGGAACUCCUAGUGUAGAGGUGGAAUUCGUAGAUAUUAGGAAGAACACCCGUGGCUAAGGCGGCUCUCUAGUACGGUACUGACGCUGAGACGCGAAAGCGUGGGGAGCGAACAGG